rnacentral:rRNA from 1 species
AAAAUUUAAUUUUUUUUAUGUUAACCUAACACAAGAGCAUUUCAAGUAAGAUUAAAAGAAAAAGAAGGAACUCGGCAAAUAUUAACCUCGCCUGUUUACCAAAAACAUCGCCUCUUGCCCCAAUAUAAGAGGUCCAGCCUGCCCAGUGACUCUGUUCAACGGCCGCGGUAUCCUAACCGUGCGAAGGUAGCGUAAUCACUUGUUCUUUAAAUGAGGACUAGUAUGAACGGCACCACGAGGGUUAUACUGUCUCCUUUUUCCAAUCAGUGAAACUAAUCCCCCCGUGAAGAAGCGGGGAUAAACAUAUAAGACGAGAAGACCCUAUGGAGCUUUAAACUCAAUAACACUUGCUUUUAAACAUAAAUACUUCAGAGUAAUAACACCCAUUACGGCCUCCUGAUUAUUAGUUUUAGGUUGGGGUGACCGCGGAGCAAAAAACAACCUCCACAUUGAACGGGGAACAUCCCCUGAGCCACGAGCCACAACUCUAUGCACCAAUAAAUUGACAUCUCUUGACCCAAUAUAUUGAUCAACG